rnacentral:lncRNA from 1 species
AUGGCCAUUGUUAUAUUAUAGUUCGUUUCUGUGUGUAUUACAUUAUAACGUUGUUUCGUUUGUUUUCUCUUAUUUUUGAGUGUAAAUUCACAUUGCGAUAAGACGUGUCACGGUACUUGUCUAUCCCAAAUUCAUGUAUUUGGUUUUGAUGUUAUAUAUAUAUAUGUUAUAUUUGUUAUUCUCGUGGGAUUUUGUCUAUGUGUGUUACAUU